rnacentral:tRNA from 1 species
GGGGUCAUAGUUCAAUGGUAAAACAGUCGGCUCCAGACCGACAGUUGGGGGUUCGAAUCCCUCUGACCCCA